rnacentral:rRNA from 1 species
UACGGAGGGUGCAAGCGUUAUCCGGAUUCACUGGGUUUAAAGGGUGCGUAGGUGGGCAAGUAAGUCAGUGGUGAAAUCUCCGGGCUUAACCCGGAAACUGCCAUUGAUACUAUUUGUCUUGAAUACUGUGGAGGUCAGCGGAAUAUGUCAUGUAGCGGUGAAAUGCUUAGAUAUGACAUAGAACACCAAUUGCGAAGGCAGCUGGCUACACAAAUAUUGACACUUGAGGCACGAAAGCGUGGGGAUCAAACAGG